UAGUGGCGGACGGGUGAGUAACACGUGGAUAACCUCGCCUGUAAGACCGGGACAACACCUGGAAACGGGUGCUAAUACCGGGUAAGCUCCUCUCGCCGCAUGGUGAGAAGAGGAGAAGAAAAACCCGCUUACAGAAGGAUUCCGCGGCCCAUCAGCUAGUUGGCGGUGUAACGGACCACCAAGGCGACGAUGAGGUAGCUGGCUUGAAAGGAUGAUUCGGCCACACUCGGAACUUAAAACACGGGUCCAGAACUCCUACGGGGAGGGGCAGCAGUGGGGGGAAAUCUUUCCGCAAAUGGGGCGAAAAGCCCUGGAACGGGAGCA
rnacentral:rRNA from 1 species